rnacentral:rRNA from 1 species
GAUGAACGCUGGCGGCGUGCCUAAUACAUGCAAGUCGAGCGAACGGACGAGAAGCUUGCUUCUCUGAUGUUAGCGGCGGACGGGUGAGUAGCACGUGGAUAACCUACCUAUAGGGCUGGGAUAACUUCGGGAAACCGGAGCUAAUACCGGAUGAUAUUUUGAACCGCAUGGUUCAAAAGUGAAAGACGGUCUUGCUGUCACUUAUAGAUGGAUCCGCGCUGCAUUAGCUAGUUGGUAAGGUAACGGCUUACCGAGGCAACGAUGCAUAGCCGACCUGAGAGGGUGAUCGGCCACACUGGAACUGAGACACGGUCCAGACUCCUACGGGAGGCAGCAGUAGGGAAUCUUCCGCAAUGGGCGAAAGCCUGACGGAGCAACGCCGCGUGAGUGAUGAAGGUCUUCGGAUCGUAAAACUCUGUUAUUAGGGAAGAACAUAUGUGUAAGUAACUGUGCACAUCUUGACGGUACCUAAUCAGAAAGCCACGGCUAACUACGU